ACUGUUCUGCCUGCCUAGCUACCGGUUCCCCCCCACCCCCCACCCAGUCUGCCUGCUGGCCGCAGCCUUUUGUCCUCAGAAGACACGGUCCCAGCGGGGCCUCUGCCAAGCUUCUAGCAGAUGCUCAGGGUCCUGGACUCCUCCCUGGGAACACAGGAGCCAUGGCCUGGGAGGGCCCCAGGUUAGGGGCACACUCUCAUCCAGGCUAACCCCACUCUCCGGGCCUGGCGAGGAUGGAGAAGAGGUGCAGGUCCACAGCCAGAGGCAGUAGCAGAGCCUUAUGUAGGUCCAGUGCUGGACUCAGAUGACUUGGGUAAGUCAGACUUGCUGCCUGCCCUUAUGAAAACCAUGAUCUGCUACCAACCUGUGGGCCAGGAAGUCAUGCACCUGCCUCUGGAUCCCUCUGGUACCUGUGAAAUCUAGAUCCCCAGGCCUGCUCUCUGGAAAUAUAAAUCUGGUAGAGAGUGAAAUUGAAAGGUGUCACAUAUCUUGGGCUUGGUGAUGGACUAUUCAAGUGCCUCUGAAUGGCAGUGUCUCCACAAGGGAAACUAGAAGAUAAAGCCUUUCUCAGCAGUUAUCUCUGGGGCUAGCUUUACCCAUCAAAGGACUCCAGGGCUGUUGGGUAAGUG